rnacentral:rRNA from 1 species
GUAGUCUGCAACCCGACCUACAUGAAGCUGGAAUCGCUAGUAAUCGCAAAUCAGAAUGUUGCGGUGAAUACGUUCCCGGGUCUUGUACACACCGCCCGUCACACCAUGGGAGUUGGAAAUGCCCGAAGUCAGUGACCCAACCUAAGGGAGGGAGCUGCCGAAGGCAGGUUCGAUGACUGGGGUGAAGUCGUAACAAGGUAUC